rnacentral:lncRNA from 1 species
CAUACUGGUAUUUUAUGCAUAGAUCUAUAUUUUGGCACAUAGGGGGAGUCUCCAGUGUUUUAUAAUCAAUCGUCGGUUCAAGAAUACAUUGGCUCUUCCCUGGGAAGCGUGCUUGGCUAUUGCUUCAUUGAAUGCACAUCUUAUUUUGUAUUUUUGUUGGUGGGUGGUGGAUUUCUGUAAUUCUAUUGGAAUUAGCAAUUUGAUGUUUCAUAUAGGGCAUCUUCUUCUAUUCUCUGAAACGGCUUACUGCAUGGGUGUUCUGGUUUCAAUGGUUCCGAC